UUUUUCCGCUGUCCACAAGCCCUGUUCUCAGAGGUUGCUCAUUGUACUUUAGGUGUGGGGAGAGAGCCGCGAGUGGAUCGCUCAAACAGAUGCAUUGCGAAUGCGGGCACGUUUGGAAAUGGACGGGUUGAAAGUAAAAGUCUGCCACUUUACGAAUAAUGACACAAAUGAAAAAGAAAAGAAGAAACAACUUUUUUAUGGACUACAGUGUGUGACUUUCCACUUUUGUUUUUCUGCCUGACCAGUUAGUCAAAUGACUGGGCCAAAGGCGCGGCCGCCACACUCAGAGGACAUGCGGAAGGGACGCCAACCUGCAUUUGGACACGUGUGAGUACUGAGCUGUUUGAUGUCUGAUGUCACUGAUGUCACGUUGCACCACAAGGUGGAGAGUAGACAAUCACAAAAGCAGAGGAAAAAGUUGCAAGU